UCAUUCAUUCAAAAAAAAAAAAAAAAAAAACUGAAAAUUAUAAUCAGAAAUUCCCACAUCUGCUUGCAGACUGAGAAAGAGAGAAAUUGCGAGAAAAUGCCCCCCAUAAUUGCCCAACUAGAGACAAUCACAGUUUUCUCUCUUUUAAUAGAGAAAAACAACAAAUUAAAAUCCUUUUUUUAGCAUAUUUUCCACUAUUAAAAAUAAAAACAGUUGCUCGCGUUCUAUAGAUACGUGCAGACACACUUUAAAUAGAAAAGAUUUUAAGCAGUGCAAUAUUUUUUUUAGUUUUCCGUUUUAUUUCUGCUUCUUCAACUGUCUUGUCUUGUGUCUAAUGAAAAUAUAUUUUUAUGAAAAUUAUGAAAAUUUUCAACAGCAAAUUUUAUUAAUAUAAAAAUACCAACAAUAGAAGCCACAGAACCAAAAAAAAAAAAAUAAAUAAAACAUAUUUAUAAAUAACAGAGAUUUAAGGAAGUAAAGUAAAUGCAUUAAAUUUUUGUGGUGCAAUCAAAAAUAUAAAAAAUAGUUAAAUUUUAAUAUUAAAUAAAAGAAAAAGAAAUUUAUAAAAAAUUAAACCUGGUAAAAAAUGCAGGAAAAUGCAAAAGAAGAGGCAAAUAUACUACAUGCAUCAGUAGGAAGUGCAAACGAAAAAUAAAAGAAAAGGCAAAAGGAGAAAACAUGAAAAGAAAAAUGAAGAAAUAUUGAUUUUUUGUGUAAAAGAAUGCGGUGGCACAAAUGCAAGCGUUACAAAACGUAAAAAGUAAAUAAAAAUGUGGAAAAAUAUAAGAAAAAACUUAAAGAAAAAAAUGUUUGAGAAGAAACAAAAAUAGAAUAAAACAAACAUGCAAAAUAACCAACAAAUGUAGAAAUUAAAUUAAAAGGACAACAACUAAACUAAGAAUUGCAUAGACUUUGAAAAUAAAAAAAAACAACAAAAUUGUAGCAACAUCACGAGAACACUAUUAACAAUAAAAACAACAAGAGCACCAUGAAGAAAAACACAUACGGAAACUGUAAACAAUUGCUGUCAAAAGAAAACACCAGCAACAAACAAUAACAACAACUAUUCAAUACAAUAAGAAAAAAAUAACAACAACAAUAAUAACAACUCUUGAAACUCUGUGAUUUGUCAUUACCACCAGAGUGGCCACAUGAUUAGAAAAUGGGGAAAACGUUUUGUAUUAAAUAGAUAAUAUAGAUAGGUCUAUUCCAUAGAGUUUAGAUACUAUUCAGUAGACAACAAUACUUGAAACUGUGUGAUAGAAUAGAGUUUAGAA